rnacentral:rRNA from 1 species
GACGAACGCUGGCGGCGUGCCUAAUACAUGCAAGUAGAACGCACAGUUUAUACCGUAGCUUGCUACACCAUAGACUGUGAGUUGCGAACGGGUGAGUAACGCGUAGGUAACCUGCCUGGUAGCGGGGGAUAACUAUUGGAAACGAUAGCUAAUACCGCAUAAUAUUAAUUAUUGCAUGAUAAUUAAUUUAAAGGUGCAAUUGCACCACUACCAGAUGGACCUGCGUUGUAUUAGCUAGUAGGUGAGGUAACGGCUCACCUAGGCGACGAUACAUAGCCGACCUGAGAGGGUGGUCGGCCACACUGAGACUGAGACACGGCCCAGACUCCCACGGGAGGAAGCAGAAGGGAAUCUUCGGCAAUGGACGAAAGUCUGACCGAGAAAAGCCGCGUGAGUGAAGAAGGGUUUCGGAUCGGAAAGCUCUGUUGUAAGAGAAGAACGGGUGUGAGAGUGGAAAGUUCACACUGUGACGGUAUCUUACCAGAAAGGGACGGCUAACUACGUG